UACGUAGGGGCUAGCGUUGUCCGGAAUCAUUGGCGUAAAGCGCGUGUAGGCGGUCCGGUAAGUCCGCUGUGAAAGUCGGGGGCUCAACCCUCGAAUGCCGGUGGAUACUGUCGGGCUAGAGUGCGGAAGAGGCGAGUGGAAUUCCUGGUGUAGCGGUGAAAUGCGCAGAUAUCAGGAGGAACACCAAUUGCGAAGGCAGCUCGCUGGGACGUAACUGACGCUGAGACGCGAAGCGUGGGGAGCGAACAGG
rnacentral:rRNA from 1 species